UAGGGAAUCUUCCGCAAUGGACGAAAGUCUGACGGAGCAACGCCGCGUGAGUGAUGAAGGUUUUCGGAUCGUAAAGCUCUGUUGUCAGGGAAGAACAAGUACCGUUCGAAUAGGGCGGUACCUUGACGGUACCUAACCAGAAAGCCACGGCUAACUACGUGCCAGCAGCCGCGGUAAUACGUAGGUGGCACGCGUUGUCCGGAAUUAUUGGGCGUAAAGGGCUCGCAGGCGGUUUCUUAAGUCUGAUUGGAAAGGCCCCGGCUCAACCGGGGAGGGUCAUUGGAAACUGGGGAACUUGAGUGCAGAAGAGGAGAGUGGAAGUCCACAUGUAGCGGUGAAAUGCGUAGAGAUGUGGAGGAACACCAGUGGCGAAGGCGACUCUCUGGUCUGUAACUGACGCGGAGGAGCGAAAGCGUGGGGAGCGAACA
rnacentral:rRNA from 1 species